rfam:Lepisosteus oculatus linkage group LG4, whole genome shotgun sequence.
GCCAGCAGCCAUAUCAACUUGCAGCUCUCAACUGGCUGCCCACUGAAGCUCAGCAGGGUUGAGCCUGGUCAGUACCUGGAUGGGAGACCUCCUGGGAAGCUAUGGUUGCUGCUGGAA